rnacentral:rRNA from 1 species
AGAGUUUGAUCCUGGCUCAGAACGAACGCUGGCGGCGUGCUUAACACAUGCAAGUCGAGUGCGCGCCUGUAGCAAUACAGGUGGCGCACGGCGCACGGGUGCGUAACACGUGGGCAAUCUGCCCUCUGAUGGGGAAUAACCCGCCGAAAGGCGGGCUAAUACCGCAUAAAAUUCCUUGGACUUAUGUUCGAGGACUCAAAGGCGUAAGUCGUCGGAGGAGGAGCCCGCGCACGAUUAGCUAGUUGGUAGGGUAAUGGCCUACCAAGGCUUUGAUCGUUAGCUGGUCUGAGAGGAUGGCCAGCCACACUGGAACUGAGACACGGUCCAGACUCCUACGGGAGGCAGCAGUGGGGAAUCUUGCACAAUGGGCGAAAGCCUGAUGCAGCGACGCCGCGUGGGGGAUGAAGCAUUUCGGUGUGUAAACCCCUUUCGAUCCGGACGAAUGCCUCGCAAGAGGAGUGACGGUACGGAUAUAAGAAGCCCCGGCUAACUACGUGCCAGCAGCCGCGGUAAGACGUAGGUGGCCAGCGUUGUUCGGAAUUACUGGGUGUAAAGGGUUCGUAGGCGGUGUGGCAAGUUGGGUGUGAAAUCUCUGGGCUCAACCCAGAGACUGCUUCCAAAACUGCUGUGCUUGAGUGUGAGAGAGGCUCGUGGAAUUGCAGGUGUAGCGGUGAAAUGCGUAGAUAUCUGCAGGAACACCCGUGGCGAAAGCGGCGAGCUGGAUCACUACUGACGCUGAGGAACGAAAGCUAGGGGAGCAAACAGGAUUAGAUACCCUAGUAGUCC